CUUACAGUAACAUGAUUAUAUUAUGAUAUGAAGCUGAUUGGGUACAAGUUAAUAUGAAGCUGAUUGGGUACAAGUUAAUAUGAAGCUGAUUGGGUACAAGUUGAUAUGAAGCUGAUUGGGUACAGGUUAAUAUGAAGCUGAUUGGGUACAGGUUGAUAUGAAGCUGAUUGGGUACAAGUUGAUAUGAAGCUGAUUGGGUACAAGUUGUUACACUUUUUGGUGAAGCAGUUCCCAAUGAAGUGUUUUCUUUCAUUCAUCAACUUUCAUUUUAUGUCUACUUUCAAAUCCAUCCAAAUGUGUGUGUG
ensembl:lncRNA